AAAUGCGAUAAGUAAUGUGAAUUGCAGAAUUCAGUGAAUCAUCGAAUCUUUGAACGCACCUUGCGCUCCUUGGUAUUCCUUGGAGCAUGCCUGUUUGAGUAUCAUGAAAUCUUCAAAGUAAAUCUUUUGUUAACUCAAUUGGUUUCUACUUUGGUAUUGGAGGUCUUUGCAGCUUCACACCUGCUCCUCUUUGUUCAUUAGCUGGAUCUCAGUGUUAUGCUUGGUUCCACUCGGCGUGAUAAGUUAUCUAUCGCUGAGGACACUGUAAAAGGUGGCCAAGGUAAAUGCAGAUGAACCGCUUCUAAUAGUCCAUUGACUUGUACAAUACUUUUAUGAUCUGAUCUCAAAUCAGGUAGGACUACCCGCUGAACUUAAGC
rnacentral:misc_RNA from 1 species